AGAGUUUGAUCCUGGCUCAGAAUCAACGCUGGCGGCGCGCCUAACACAUGCAAGUCGAACGAGAAAGUGGAGCAAUCCAUGAGUACAGUGGCGUACGGGUGAGUAACACGUGGGUAAUCUACCUCUUAGUGGGGAAUAACUUUGGGAAACCGAAGCUAAUACCGCAUAAGCUCGAGAGAGGAAAGCAGCAAUGCGCUGAGAGAGGAGCCCGCGGCCGAUUAGCUAGUUGGCAGGGUAAAAGCCUACCAAGGCAUAGAUCGGUAGCCGGCCUGAGAGGGCACACGGCCACACUGGCACUGAAACACGGGCCAGACUCCUACGGGAGGCAGCAGUGGGGAAUCUUGCACAAUGGGGGAAACCCUGAUGCAGCGACGCCGCGUGAGCGAUGAAGCCCUUCGGGGUGUAAAGCUCUUUCGGCAGGGAAGAUAGUGACGGUACCUGCAGAAGCAGCUGCGGCUAACUACGUGCCAGCAGCCGCGGUAAUACGUAGGCAGCGAGCGUUGUUCGGAGUUACUGGGCGUAAAGGGUGUGUAGGCGGUUGUUUAAGUUUGGUGUGAAAUCUCCCGGCUCAACUGGGAGGGUGCGCCGAAUACUGAGCGACUAGAGUGCGGGAGAGGAAAGUGGAAUUCCUGGUGUAGCGGUGAAAUGCGUAGAUAUCAGGAGGAACACCGGUGGUGUAGACGGCUUUCUGGACCGUAACUGACGCUGAGACACGAAAGCGUGGGUAGCAAACAGGAUUAGAUACCCUAGUAGUCC
rnacentral:rRNA from 1 species